GCUUGCUCACUGCUUGGUCAGUUUCAGGGGAGCUUCUAUUUCAGGAGCAUCUUCUCGGAGAGCUUUGAACUUGUUGAGCUCGGCGAUCUCUCGAGUGAAGGAUGGCAAAGCGUAACGGCGUGAAGAAGAGCAUUUGGGAGCUCCUCUGCGGCUGCUCAUCGCCCAAGACGAAGUGAUUGAUUCGGAGUUAAACUCACGAGAGGUGAAGGGAUGUGAUCAGCUAGCCAAAUUCUUUUGUAUAGGUUGCUCAGGAUCUGUCUGAUGGAACACGAUGUAUGUAGUGAGUCCGUGUACUUGGUUGUUUGAUUCGAUUCGUGUCUGGUCUUGUUUGUUGUGAUCGUUUGGCAGAGUUUCAGAGCUGAUUCUCUGCUGAUUUUAUGAAGUAAUUCUCUGAAAUGAACUAA